AGAGUUUGAUCCUGGCUCAGGACGAACGCUGGCGGCGUGCCUAAUACAUGCAAGUCGAGCGAAGUUAAGGGAGCUUGCUCCCAAGACUUAGCGGCGGACGGGUGAGUAACACGUGGGUAACCUGCCUGUAAGACCGGGAUAACUCCGGGAAACCGGAGCUAAUACCAGAUAAUCAACUGAGUUGCAUAACAAAGUUGUGAAAGAUGGCGCAAGCUAUCACUUACAGAUGGGCCCGCGGCGCAUUAGCUAGUUGGUAGGGUAAAGGCCUACCAAGGCAACGAUGCGUAGCCGACCUGAGAGGGUGAUCGGCCACACUGGGACUGAGACACGGCCCAGACUCC
rnacentral:rRNA from 1 species